ACAUGCAAGUCGAGGGGCAGCAUGGUCUUAGCUUGCUAAGGCCGAUGGCGACCGGCGCACGGGUGAGUAACACGUAUCCAACCUGCCGUCUACUCUUGGACAGCCUUCUGAAAGGAAGAUUAAUACAAGAUGGCAUCAUGAGUCCGCAUGUUCACAUGAUUAAAGGUAUUCCGGUAGACGAUGGGGAUGCGUUCCAUUAGAUAGUAGGCGGGGUAACGGCCCACCUAGUCUUCGAUGGAUAGGGGUUCUGAGAGGAAGGUCCCCCACAUUGGAACUGAGACACGGUCCAAACUCCUACGGGAGGCAGCAGUGAGGAAUAUUGGUCAAUGGGCGAGAGCCUGAACCAGCCAAGUAGCGUGAAGGAUGACUGCCCUAUGGGUUGUAAACUUCUUUUAUAAAGGAAUAAAGUCGGGUAUGGAUACCCGUUUGCAUGUACUUUAUGAAUAAGGAUCGGCUAACUCCGUGCCAGCAGCCGCGGUAAUACGGAGGAUCCGAGCGUUAUCCGGAUUUAUUGGGUUUAAAGGGAGCGUAGAUGGAUGUUUAAGUCAGUUGUGAAAGUUUGCGGCUCAACCGUAAAAUUGCAGUUGAUACUGGAUAUCUUGAGUGCAGUUGAGGCAGGCGGAAUUCGUGGUGUAGCGGUGAAAUGCUUAGAUAUCACGAAGAACUCCGAUUGCGAAGGCAGCCUGCUAAGCUGCAACUGACAUUGAGGCUCGAAAGUGUGGGUAUCAAACAGGAUUAGAUACCCUGGUAGUCCACACGGUAAACGAUGAAUACUCGCUGUUUGCGAUAUACAGCAAGCGGCCAAGCGAAAGCGUUAAGUAUUCCACCUGGGGAGUACGCCGGCAACGGUGAAACUCAAAGGAAUUGACGGGGGCCCGCACAA
rnacentral:rRNA from 1 species